rnacentral:rRNA from 1 species
UACGUAGGGUGCAAGCGUUGUCCGGAAUUAUUGGGCGUAAAGAGCUCGUAGGCGGUUUGUCGCGUCGGCUGUGAAAACCUGAGGCUCAACCUCAGGCCUGCAGUCGAUACGGGCAGACUAGAGUCCGGCAGGGGAGACUGGAAUUCCUGGUGUAGCGGUGGAAUGCGCAGAUAUCAGGAGGAACACCGGUGGCGAAGGCGGGUCUCUGGGCAGUAACUGACGCUGAGGAGCGAAAGCGUGGGGAGCGAACAGG